rnacentral:rRNA from 1 species
UUCCGGUUGAUCCUGCCGGAGGCUACCGCUAUUGGAGUUCGAUUAAGCCAUGCGAGUCUAGAGGCCUAGCCUCGGCGUACCGCUCAGUAACACGUGGGUAACCUACCCUAUGCUGGGGGAUAAGCUCGGGAAACUGAGAGUAAUACCCCAUAGUCCACUACGCCUGGAACGGUGAGUGGAUCAAAGCUCCGGCGGCAUAGGAUGGGCCUGCGGCGUAUCAGGUUGUAGGGGGUGUAAUGUACCCUCUAGCCAUCUACGCGUACGGGUGUUGGGAGACAUUGCCCGGAGAUGGAUUCUGAGACACGAAUCCAGACCCUACGGGGUGCAGCAGGCGCGAAAACUUGGCAAUGCGAGAAAUCGUGACCAGGGAACUCCAAGUGGCAGGGGUAAGACCCUGUCUUUUUCCGACUCUAAAUAGGUCGGCGAAUAAGGGGUGGGUAAGGACGGUGCCAGCCGCCGCGGUAAUACCGGCGCCUCAAGUGGUAGUCGCUUUUAUUGGGCCUAAAACGUCCGUAGCCGGUCUGGUACAUUCGUGGGUAAAUCAACUCGCUCAACGAGUUGAAUUCUGCGAGGACGGCCAGACUUGGGACCGGGAGAGGUGUGGGGUACUCUCAGGGUAGGGGUAAAAUCCUGUCAUCCUGAGAGGACCACCUGUUGCGAAGGCUCCACACUAGAACGGAUCCGACGGUCAGGGACGAAGCCUAGGGGCACGAACCGGAUUAGAUACCCGGGUAGUCCUAGGUGUAAACGCUGUGGACUUGAUGUUGGGGGUGCUCCGAGCACUCUCAGUGUCGAAGCGAAGGUGAUAAGUCCACUGCCUGGGAAGUACGGUCGCAAGGCUGAAACUUAAAGGAAUUGGCGGGGGAGCACCGCAACCUGAGGAUUGUGCGGUUUAAUUGGAUCAACGCCGGA